rnacentral:tRNA from 1 species
GCAGAUGUAGCUCAGCAGUACAGCAUGUGCCUUGUAUGUACAAGGCCUUGGGUUCGACCCCCAGCAUUGCA